rnacentral:misc_RNA from 1 species
UACUUAUGCUUUGGCGGGCCGGGGCCCCCCGGCGCUUCGACCUUGGUGUGCCUGCCAAACCAAAUAUUCUGUUUUUAGUGAUGUCUGAUUACUAUAUAAUAUUAAAACUUUCAACAGGAUCUCUUGGUUCUGGCAUCGAUGAAAACGCAUCGAAAUGCUAGAAGUUAUGUGAAUUGCAUAAUUCCUGAAUCAUCCAAUCUUUGACCGCACAUUGCGCCCCGGUUAUUCCGCGAGGCAUGCUUGUUCUAUCGUCAUUUCCUUGAUCGGCUUCGCUUGGCUUGGGGCCUGCAUUCGAACCUCUAAACCCAGUGCGGCGCCUCCGAAUCACGUAUUAAUUCUUCUCGCUAUAGGGUCUCGGUGGUGUCCUGCCGUACUCCCAAUUUUUUACUGGUUGACCUAGAAGCAGGUAAACUCGCUAAUUAUAU